rnacentral:snRNA from 1 species
GUGCAAAUCGUUCGUCUGACU